rnacentral:rRNA from 1 species
GAAUCUUAGACAAUGGGCGCAAGCCUGAUCUAGCCAUGCCGCGUGAGUGAAGAAGGCCUUAGGGUCGUAAAGCUCUUUCGCCAGGGAUGAUAAUGACAGUACCUGGUAAAGAAACCCCGGCUAACUACGUGCCAGCAGCCGCGGUAAUACGUAGGCAGCAAGCGUUGUUCGGAAUUACUGGGCGUAAAGCGAGUGUAGGCGGUUUGCCGUGUCUGCCGUGAAAUCUCCCGGCUCAACUGGGAGGGUGCGGCGGAAACUGGCAGGCUAGAGUGCGGAAGAGGAAAGUGGAAUUCCUGGUGUAGCGGUGAAAUGCGUAGAUAUCAGGAGGAACACCGGUGGUGAAGACGGCUUUCUGGACCGCAACUGACGCUGAGACUCGAAAGCGUGGGGAGCAAACAGG